rnacentral:piRNA from 1 species
UCCACUGUGUGUGACUGGAUCAAAGUGU